rnacentral:rRNA from 1 species
CGGGGGGGGCAAGCGUUGUUCGGAAUUACUGGGCGUAAAGGGCUCGUAGGCGGCCAACUAAGUCAGACGUGAAAUCCCCAGGCUCAACCUGGGAACUGCGUCUGAUACUGGAUGGCUUGAAUCCGGGAGAGGGAUGCAGAAUUCCAGGUGUAGCGGUGAGAUGCGUAGAUAUCUGGAGGAAUACCGGUGGCGAAGGCGGCAUCCUGGACCGGCAUUGACGCUGAGGAGCGAAAGCCAGGGGAGCAAACGGGAUUAGAUACCCCGGUAGUCCUGGCCCUAAACGAUGAAUGCUUGGUGUAACGGGUAUCGAUCCCUGUUGUGCCGAAGCUAACGCAUUAAGCAUUCCGCCUGGGGAGUACGGUCGCAAGGCUG